CAAUAACCCUGGAAUGAGGUGAUUAGAGCCUACAAAAUGGUGGCGUGUGACUUGAAAGAAAAGGAGAUGUGGAGAGAUGCUAUGAAGGUAUCGCAUUUCUGCUGCUCUCUUCUGGGCAUCAUUUCUUCCCUCCAGUUAUCCAGGGGUGAUUACAGCUUCAGUGACUGAAUACUCUGUUCACUCUCUCCUGAACUGUGGCAAGUAAGCUCAGCGUUUGAUAUUUCUACAUUCUCAUGGAAAAGAAGCCAGUGAUGAAACUGUUUCCUACUUUUUUACAUCAUAUCUUCUGUUCUAUACAAAUCACAAGAGCUGGGCUGGGAAAAGCUGAAAGACCUGGUGACCCUUGUUCUUCUUCCUCUCAGCAAUAUAUCACAAUCUGGUAUCCUUUUUCUGUUUUGUUUUGUCUUUAAAUAUCUGGCUUAAAAUAAAAUUUUAACUUAAACUGAACAGAUAAAGCUAGCAGCUACAGAAAACAGUCCUUAUAUAUUAUUCCUUUAUGUAGUGAUUCUUAA